AGGGAUGAAACACGAGGACUUCCCGGGAAGUCACCCAUCCUAGUAUUACUCUCACCCAAGCACGGUUAAUUGCGGAGUUCUGAUGGGAUCCGGUGUAUUAGUGCUGGUAUGAUCGCAUCCGUUAGUAUAUGCAAUGCAAUCGUAUAUAUUCUUUUUUGAAAACUUGAUGAACCGUUCACCAUA
rnacentral:sRNA from 1 species